UACGUAGGUGGCAAGCGUUGUCCGGAUUUACUGGGCGUAAAGGGCGUGCAGGCGGUCUGUUAAGUCUAGGGUGAAAGCUCCCGGCUCAACUGGGAGAGGUCCUUGGAUACUGGCGGACUUGAGGGAGGUGAGAGGAAAGUGGAAUUCCGGUCGUAGUGGUGAUAUGCGUAGAUAUCGGGAGGAACACCAGUGGCGAAGGCGGCUUUCUGGGCCUUACCUGACG
rnacentral:rRNA from 1 species